UCCCUGGUAGCUCAGAGGUUAAAGCAUCUGCCUGCAAUGUGGGAGACCUGGGUUCGAUCCCUGGGUUGGGAA
rfam:TPA: Bos taurus chromosome 7, whole genome shotgun sequence.